CCAGCAGCUGCGGUAAUUCCAGCUCCAAUAGCGUAUACUAAAGUUGUUGCAGUUAAAAAGCUCGUAGUUGAAUUUCUGGUCUCGGACAUCGGUCUGCCUCGAACGAGGUACGUACCAGUUGUCUGAAUCCAUCCUCGGGGAAAACAUGUCUGGCAUUCAGUUGUUGGGCAUGGGAUCCUCGUCAUUUACUGUGAGCAAAAUAGAGUGUUCAAAGCAGGCUUAUGCCGUUGAAUACAUUAGCAUGGAAUAAUAAGAUAGGACCUUGGUCUAUUUUGUUGGUUUGUACUCCAAGGUAAUGAUUAAUAGGGAUAGUUGGGGGUAUUCGUAUUCAAUUGUCAGAGGUGAAAUUC
rnacentral:rRNA from 1 species